rnacentral:rRNA from 1 species
UACGGAGGGGGCUAGCGUUGUUCGGAAUUACUGGGCGUAAAGCGCGCGUAGGCGGCUUUGUAAGUUAGAGGUGAAAGCCCGGAGCUCAACUCCGGAACUGCCUUUAAGACUGCAUCGCUAGAAUUGUGGAGAGGUGAGUGGAAUUCCGAGUGUAGAGGUGAAAUUCGUAGAUAUUGGGAGGAACACCAGUGGCGAAGGCGGCGAUCUGGGUUGAUACUGACGCUGAGGUGCGAAAGCGUGGGGAGCAAACAGG